UCUUCGUUGCCGUCGUCGUUGUUGUGGCUGUGGCUGCGGUGACCGUAACAGUGCUGGUUUCUGUGCUGCUCAAUAUUUUGGUGACGUGGUGCACGUUGGUUGCACAUCCCUGGAGAAAAUAAGAAGAAAGUUGGAACCAUAAGGGGUCGCCGCGCCCAGGGAAAGCAAGAGAAAGACACACGCCACAGAACUGAACAUCGUAGAGACAAGAGGCUAUGGCGUUUUUCUGAAAGAGAGAGAGAGAAAAACAAACACUGUUUUGGUUCUUGUUUGGUAUCGUCGAUGAAUCCAGAAAUGUAUAAUAAAUACUGAUUUCAUUUA